AAGUGGAGCAAUCCAUGAGUAAAGUGGCGACCGGGUGAGUAACACGUGACUAACCUACCUUCGAGUGGGGGAUAACCUAGGGAAACCUGGGCUAAUACCGCAUAACAUCUUUGGAGUGGAAAUUCUGGAGAUCAAAGGGGCAAUUCGCUUGAAGAGGGGGUCGCGGCUGAUUAGCUAGUUGGCGGGGUAAUGGCCCACCAAGGCUUUGAUCGGUAGCCGGCCUGAGAGGGCGCACGGCCACACUGGAACUGAAACACGGUCCAGACUCCUACGGGAGGCAGCAGUGGGGAAUUUUGCGCAAUGGGGGAAACCCUGACGCAGCAACGCCGCGUGGAGGAUGAAGUCCCUUGGG
rnacentral:rRNA from 1 species